rnacentral:rRNA from 1 species
GAGUUUGAUCCUGGCUCAGGAUGAACGCUGGCGGCGUGCUUAACACAUGCAAGUCGAGCGGAGCACAUCGUUGGAAUCCUUCGGGAGGAAGAGGAUGUGGCUUAGCGGCGGACGGGUGAGUAACGCGUGGACAACCUGCCCUAUGCAGGGGGAUAACAUCCGGAAACGGGUGCUAAUACCGCAUAAGCGCACAGUACCGCAUGGUACAGUGUGAAAAGCUGAGGCGGCAUAGGAUGGGUCCGCGUUGGAUUAGGCAGUUGGCGGGGUAACGGCCCACCAAACCGACGAUCCAUAGCCGGCCUGAGAGGGUGGACGGCCACAUUGGGACUGAGACACGGCCCAGACUCCUACGGGAGGCAGCAGUGGGGAAUAUUGCACAAUGGGGGGAACCCUGAUGCAGCGACGCCGCGUGGGUGAGGAAGUACUUCGGUAUGUAAAGCCCUAUCAGCAGGGAAGAAAAUGACGGUACCUGACU